rnacentral:rRNA from 1 species
UACGUAGGGUGCGAGCGUUGUCCGGAAUUACUGGGCGUAAAGAGCUCGUAGGUGGUUUGUCGCGUCGUCUGUGAAAUUCCGGGGCUUAACCUCGGGCGUGCAGGCGAUACGGGCAAUACUUGAGUGCUGUAGGGGAGACUGGAAUUCCUGGUGUAGCGGUGAAAUGCGCAGAUAUCAGGAGGAACACCAGUGGCGAAGGCAGGUCUCUGGGCAGUUACUGACGCUGAGGAGCGAAAGCAUGGGUAGCGAACAGGAUUAGAUA